rnacentral:rRNA from 1 species
AAUACAUGCAAGUCGAGCGAACAGACGAGGAGCUUGCUCCUCUGACGUUAGCGGCGGACGGGUGAGUAACACGUGGAUAACCUACCUAUAAGACUGGGAUAACUUCGGGAAACCGGAGCUAAUACCGGAUAAUAUAUUGAACCGCAUGGUUCAAUAGUGAAAGACGGUUUUGCUGUCACUUAUAGAUGGAUCCGCGCCGCAUUAGCUAGUUGGUAAGGUAACGGCUUACCAAGGCAACGAUGCGUAGCCGACCUGAGAGGGUGAUCGGCCACACUGGAACUGAGACACGGUCCAGACUCCUACGGGAGGCAGCAGUAGGGAAUCUUCCGCAAUGGGCGAAAGCCUGACGGAGCAACGCCGCGUGAGUGAUGAAGGUCUUCGGAUCGUAAAACUCUGUUAUUAGGGAAGAACAAAUGUGUAAGUAACUAUGCACGUCUUGACGGUACCUAAUCAGAAAGCCACGGCUAACUACGUGCCAGCAGCCGCGGUAAUACGUAGGUGGCAAGCGUUAUCCGGAAUUAUUGGGCGUAAAGCGCGCGUAGGCGGUUUUUUAAGUCUGAUGUGAAAGCCCACGGCUCAACCGUGGAGGGUCAUUGGAAACUGGAAAACUUGAGUGCAGAAGAGGAAAGUGGAAUUCCAUGUGUAGCGGUGAAAUGCGCAGAGAUAUGGAGGAACACCAGUGGCGAAGGCGACUUUCUGGUCUGU